GCAUGGUUGUCGUCAGCUCGUGUCGUGAGAUGUUGGGUUAAGUCCCGCAACGAGCGCAACCCCUAUUGUUAGUUGCCAUCAUUCAGUUGGGCACUCUAGCGAGACUGCCGGUAAUAAACCGGAGGAAGGUGGGGAUGACGUCAAAUCAUCAUGCCCCUUAUGACCUGGGCUACACACGUGCUACAAUGGUUGGUACAACGAGUUGCGAGUCGGUGACGGCGAGCUAAUCUCUUAAAGCCAAUCUCAGUUCGGAUUGUAGGCUGCAACUCGCCUACAUGAAGUCGGAAUCGCUAGUAAUCGCGGAUCAGCACGCCGCGGUGAAUACGUUCCCGGGCCUU
rnacentral:rRNA from 1 species